rnacentral:rRNA from 1 species
CACGGGGUGCGUAAACGCGUGGGGAAAUCUGCCCCUUGGUUCGGAAUAACAGUGGGAAACGCUGCUAAUACCGGAUAAUGACGUAAGUCCAAAGAUUUAUCGCCCAAGGAUGAGCCCGCGUAGGAUUAGCUAGUUGGUGAGGUAAAAGCUCACCAAGGCGACGAUCCUUAGCUGGUCUGAGAGGAUGAUCAGCCACACUGGGACUGAGACACGGCCCAGACUCCUACGGGAGGCAGCAGUAGGGAAUAUUGGACAAUGGGCGAAAGCCUGAUCCAGCAAUGCCGCGUGAGUGAUGAAGGCCUUAGGGUUGUAAAGCUCUUUUACCAGGGAUGAUAAUGACAGUACCUGGAGAAUAAGCUCCGGCUAACUCCGUGC